CGUAGGGUGCGAGCGUUAAUCGGAAUUACUGGGCGUAAAGCGUGCGCAGGCGGUUUGUAAGACCGAUGUGAAAUCCCCGGGCUCAACCUGGGAGCUGCAUUGGUGACUGCAAGGCUGGAGUGCGGCAGAGGGGGAUGGAAUUCCGCGUGUAGCAGUGAAAUGCGUAGAUAUGCGGAGGAACACCGAUGGCGAAGGCAAUCCCCUGGGCCUGCACUGACGCUCAUGCACGAAAGCGUGGGAGCAAACAGGAUU
rnacentral:rRNA from 1 species